rnacentral:tRNA from 1 species
UGGCUAAGUGGUAAAGCAUUUGGCUUCUGAAAAUAAGGCCCCAGGUUCAAAUCCUGG